AUGUUGGACAGGGCGCGUCUGCGCCUCCGGCCGCCGCGGCUCCCGGGGCCUCCGCCUGCAGCCGGCGGCGGAACGAGGGCAGGCGGCUGAGACAGGCGAGCUAUUUGCAUUCCCCGGCAGUCAUUUUUAUAUGCGGAGGUAAUGAAGUUGUCAGCGGCGCCCCGAGUGUGGCAGAGCCUGAUAUUCAAAUCGCCCUGCCCGCUCCGCCUGCUCCCGCCCGCUGGUCCCGGGAGCCCCAGGCUGCGCGCGCCCGCACCGCAUCGCCGCUUUGCCCCGCGACCGCGCGCGCCUCCUCGUCCUCCCCCGCGCCUUUGUUUCCGUCUCCUUCUCCUUUCCCUCCUCUUUUGUGUCGGGCCAGACUCAGCCCCAGAAACCAGCCACCCUGCCGCGUCCGACUGCCAGGGAUCCCUCACGCCGCGAGUACCAGAGAUGUCUCCAAGAGCACCAGCAACCCCAGCUAUCUGGAUCUGAAGUGGAUAUGCUCAGAGACAUCCUGGCCCACCCCAAAGAAGAUGCUGCUGCACUCAGAAGACGCCAGAGCUAGCCACCACCCACACUGCAAGUCUGGAAGCUCUGCAAGGACCCAGCAAGGCAGCCUGCUCAGCGAAGGCUUUGUCUCCUGUGGCAGGAAGAGCAACAUUAAGAACAAGAACCCCGGGCUGGACUACCCCUGAGAUUUAAUGACCAGAGCUGAGACCCCCAAGACCACAAUGACUAUGGAGGGCUGUCAUUACCCUGCCUGACCCUCUAAUGCCUCUCAGUUCAAGGAGGCCACUGAGUGAAACUGAAGGCUGGUUUUCCUUGGAAGCCAGCGGCCCAUCCACCUGCUCCACUUCCCUGCCUCUUGCAGCCUCCGCUCAAACACUGUCGUGGCUUGGCAGCA
rnacentral:lncRNA from 1 species